rnacentral:rRNA from 1 species
GACGAACGCUGGCGGCGUGCCUAAUACAUGCAAGUUGAGCGCUGAAGGUUGGUACUUGUUCCACCUGGAUGAGCAGCGAACGGGUGAGUAACGCGUGGGUAAUCUGCCUUUGAGCGGGGGACAACAUCUGGAAACGAAUGCUAAUACCGCAUAAAAACUUUAAACACAAGUUUUAAGUUUGAAAGAUGCAAUUGCAUCACUCAAAGAUGAUCCCGCGUUGUAUUAGCUAGUUGGUGAGGUAAAGGCUCACCAAGGCGAUGAUACAUAGCCGACCUGAGAGGGUGAUCGGCCACAUUGGGACUGGGACACGGCCCAAACUCCUACGGGAGGCAGCAGUAGGGGAUCUUCGGCAAUGGACGAAAGGCUGACCGAGGAACGCCGCGGGAGUGAAGAAGGUUUUCGGAUCGUAAAACUCUGUUGGUAGAGAAGAACGUUGGUGAGAGUGGAAAGCGCAUCAAGUGACGGUAACUACCCAGAAAGGGACGGCUAACUACGUG